ACCCGCGUAUAUAUUCGAAUAUUUUUAAUAAAAUAAUAGGACAAAUUUCAUUUCGAUUCACCCCGGUAUAAACACAUUUCAAAAAAACGGCAUUUUUCGAAGACGUCAAAAUGAUUAUUUUAUUUAAUGGUCUCUUAGAAAUAAUACAAUACAAACAGUAACAGUAAGUAGUUGAACGAUACAAACAGCGUUCCUAACAAACAUUGUUUGAAUUUUAUUUUGGCUCAUUGCAAUGCAAGCGAUGGAUCUUGACGCAAUGGCCGAAAGCCUACAGGCGAUCAUUGAGACUGUACCGGUAAGAAUUUAUUUAGAUUAUAUUUUGAAUUAGUUGUUCGUUAUAUUUUAUCGAAUAGUCGGCACCUCAACCCAACCCAAGCCAACCCAACUCAAGUCAACCCAACCAAAUCCUCCCAACCCAAUCCACCGAAUCCUCCCAACCCACCGAUAAUAGUAAGUAUAAAAUUCACUGAGAUAUUGCCAUUUUUAUUUUUUUUCUAAUUGCGGAAAACAUUAAAAUUCUUUAUUUCGUUACAGAAGAAAAUUCAAAUAAUAGAGGAAGGAACUGGAGAGCGAGGAGUGGCAGGGUACAUAGGCGUAGAGAGCGCGUCAAUCUCCACCAACAGAAAACGCUAUUGUCGGCCGUGACCGACGCAAUGGCUAGUGCUAUUCUUAAGCACACCAGUAAGGGAGGCUACAGGGGCCAUUUCCGUGGCAGGGGAAAAAAUUAAUUUUUUUAAUUUUUAUUUUUUUGAAUUAUAUUUUUUUUUAUAAAUAUAUUAUAAACAUUUUAUGUAA